GUCCACGCCCUAAACGAUGUCGACUGGUUGUUGGGGUUGACACUCUCAGUAACGAAGCUAACGCGUGAAGUCGACCGCCUGGGGAGUACGGCCGCAAGGUUAAAACUCAAAGGAAUUGACGGGGACCCGCACAAGCGGUGGAUUAUGUGGAUUAAUUCUAUGCAACGCGAAAAACCUUACCUACCCUUGACAUGUCCGAGAGGCUGGAGAGAUCCAGCUGUGCCCGAAAGGGAAUCGUAACACAGGUGCUGCAUGGCUGUCGU
rnacentral:rRNA from 1 species